rnacentral:rRNA from 1 species
GAUGAACGCUGGCGGCGUGCUUAACACAUGCAAGUCGAACGAUGAACCGGGUGCUUGCACUCGGGGAUUAGUGGCGAACGGGUGAGUAACACGUGAGCAACCUGCCCCUGACUCUGGGAUAAGCGCUGGAAACGGCGUCUAAUACUGGAUAUGUCCCGUCACCGCAUGGUGUGCGGGUGGAAAGAUUUUUCGGUUGGGGAUGGGCUCGCGGCCUAUCAGCUUGUUGGUGAGGUAAUGGCUCACCAAGGCGUCGACGGGUAGCCGGCCUGAGAGGGUGACCGGCCACACUAGGACUGAGACACGGCCCAGACUCCUACGGGAGGCAGCAGUGGGGAAUAUUGCACAAUGGGCGCAAGCCUGAUGCAGCAACGCCGCGUGAGGGAUGACGGCCUUCGGGUUGUAAACCUCUUUCAGCACCGACGAAGCGCAAGUGACGGUAGGUGCAGAAGAAGGACCGGCCAACUACGUGCCAGCAGCCGCAGUAA